rnacentral:rRNA from 1 species
UGAGUACGAGAUGCUACGGCAUCGAAGCAGUCUAUGUCAUACUUCCAAGAAAAGCUUGCACUGUCAGAAACAGAUAAUGCCUGUACCAUAACCGACACAGGUGGGUAGGUAGAGUAUACUAAGGGGCGCGAGAUAACUCUCUCUAAGGAACUCGGCAAAAUGACUCCGUAACUUCGGGAGAAGGAGUGCCUUAUUUUUAAGGUUGCAAUAACAAGAUCCAAGCAACUGUUUACCAAAAACACAGGUCUCCGCUAAGUCGUAAGACGAUGUAUGGGGGCUGACGCCUGCCCAGUGCCAGAAGGUUAAAGAAGUCGGUUAGCAUUCGCGAAGCUGGUAACUGAAGCCCUGGUGAACGGCGGCCGUAACUAUAACGGUCCUAAGGUAGCGAAAUUCCUUGUCGGGUAAGUUCCGACCCGCACGAAAGGCGUAAUGAUUUGGAUACUGUCUCGGAGAGGGGCUCGGUGAAAUAGACUUGUCUGUGAAGAUGCGGACUACCUGCACCUGGACAGAAAGACCCUAUGAAGCUUUACUGUAACUUGAAAUUGAAAUUGGACUUUAUUUGCGCAGUAUAGGUGGGAGGCGUUGAAAAUAUUCUUGCGGGAAUAUUGGAGCCAUCAGUGAGAUACCACUCUUGUAAUGUUAGAUUUCUAACUUUAUAUCAUUAUCUGGUUAAAGAACAGUUUCAGGCGGGCAGUUUGACUGGGGCGGUCGCCUCCCAAAUGGUAACGGAGGCGCACAAAGGUUUCCUCUGAACGGGUAGAAAUCGUAUCUAGAGUGUAAAGGCAUAAGGAAGCUUGACUGUGAGACCUACAAGUCGAGCAGGGACGAAAGUCGGUCUUAGUGAUCUGACGGUUCUGAGUGGAAAGGCCGUCACUCAACGGAUAAAAGUUACUCUAAGGAUAACAGGCUGAUCUCCCCCAAGAGUUCACAUCGACGGGGAGGUUUGGCACCUCGAUGUCGGCUCAUCGCAUCCUGGGGCGGUAGUACGUCCCAAGGGUUGGGCUGUUCGCCCAUGAAAGCGGUACGCGAGCUGGGUUCAGAACGUCGUGAGACAGUUCGGUCCAUAUCCGGUGUAGGCGUUAGAAUAUUGAGAGGAGCCUUCUUUAGUACGAGAGGACCGAGAAGGACAUACCUCUGGUGUACCAGUUAUCGUGCCAACGGUAAACGCUGGGUAGCUAUGUAUGGAGUGGAUAACCGCUGAAAGCAUCUAAGUGGGAAGCCCACCUCAAGAUAAGUAUUCUCA